rnacentral:rRNA from 1 species
AUGGUGCUUCUCUGCUUUUGCACGCAUGACAUAUGUUGUCGUAUAUAUUCCUUACUACAUAUGCAAGAUGCUGCCCGGGCCGCCUGUGUUUCUCGUUCCUCCCUAGGCUACUGGAGAAGCCAUCCCAAUCUCACCUUCACCAAUGAAAUGAUGUGCCCGAAAGAAAAUUUGAAGACACCAGGAUCAGACGCUAUUAUAAGAGACUACAACAACAAUAUCGAUCGUGUUCUGACGAACCGCUUGGGCACUGCCGCCGUGACGAAACUCAGGCUUGACUACCAUGUUCCUCCUGAUGGCACUGAAUCGUAUCAUCGUCUUGAUAGCUGGCUUCAGAUGGUUGUUACACCGAGGACCAAAGAACUCGAGCUUCAAGUAUGGUCGAAAGGGGCGAGCUUUGAUUUCCCAUGCACACUAGUAUCUGACAGGUGUGGGGGCUCGAUUCAGAAGCUUCUCCUUUUUAGAUGCGCCUUGCGUCCCACAUUUCAACUUGGUUUGAGAAGCCUGAAAACGCUGCAUCUGUGCGAUGUGCGUGUUACGGGGGAGGGGUUAGGGUGCCUUCUGUCCAGUUCCAUUGCUUUGGAACACCUGAAGCUUGAAUAUUGCGAUGCUAUCGUUCGCCUCGAGAUACCUUGCCUGCUGCAGAGGCUCAGCUUCCUGGAGGUGGCUGGAUGCAUGAAUCUUCAAGUGAUAGAGAACGAAGCUCCAAAUCUCUCCAAAUUUUACCUUGGAGCAGGUGAACGGGUGCAAGUCUCAUUUGGAGAGGUGAAAGUGAAGAAAGUGGAGUUGGUGCAGAGCCGUGCCAUCAGUUAUGCUACUGACAACCUUCCUUCACGUGUGCCGAAUCUCGAGACUCUUACCAUAUGUUCUACUUGUGAGAUAGUCAAUUCUCUAAUGGCAUCUGGCAAACUCCACCUCAAGUUCUUGAGUAUUCUUCUUAUGAGUGGAUAUAAUUUUGACAAGGACUACGAUUAUUUAUCAUUGGUUCCUGUUUUCCAAGCAUCUCCUUCCCUGGAGACGUUUCGCUUGUUUGUAAGUUCGUUGUUCACCUUUCCUCAAAAAAGGGGGAAAAAGCCACUGCAUCCUGCAAUGAUUAUCUGCUAA